rnacentral:misc_RNA from 1 species
AACACUGUUAACCUGCGGUACCUGCGGAAGGAUCAUUACCGAGUGUGAACCCCCCCGUAAAAAAGAGGGGUUACCUCCCGUCCUUUGCUGGGAACCCCUUUCCAACUUGGAAGGAGGUUGUUUUCAGACCCUUCUGCUUCGGUGGGGUAACCCACCGGAACAACCUCAAAAAUAUUCUCAAUUCAAAACCGUUCAGUCCGAGAACUUUUUUGAAAAGCGAAAAAACUUUCAGCAAUGGAU